rnacentral:lncRNA from 1 species
AUCUCAUGAUGCUGGACUUCAUCUUCAAAGCAAGGGGGCUUACAGUAAGCCCGAAUGAUUUCUACCCAUCCCUGAGGACUCCUGCCCCACCAAGCCAUCAAAUUGACUUCCCCCAGUUCUCGUAAGAGGAGGUACUCGAACAUCCCUGAGCCAGGCAGAAAGACAAACGCCAGGGUCCCCAGGGGAAGACCUGAGAGAGAGAAGCUCACAAUGGACAAAUAAGAGUUCUAAGGAAGCCCCAAAGGCUGGACAUCCUCUCCUGCACGUGUGCCUCACGUCCAAGCAGCGUCAUUUUGCAUCAGCAGCUGACCCCCUCCAGGAGCGGGUGCUGACAUCUAAUUGGCACUGAAAACGAUGAUCAUGACAACCACUUGAUGUUGCUGGAGGCUUUUGCCAUUUAUCUGGGAGUCUGGCUCACAUCACAUCUUCUUAAGAGCAGAGGACUCAUUAAUUACUCAUGGAGCACAAGUCAUUAUUGUCCUUAAUUGUCACAUUGAGGUUGCUGUUGGAAGUGUCGUUCUCUGUCAACAUGAAAUAGAUUUUUCCCUUCUGUAAUUUGCUUGGCACCAUUUUCCCUGUUCGUGGGUGGAAGCAUCGGCCAACAUUGCAGGACCCACCUGCCUGAUAAUUUAAGAGUUCAUCUUCCUGUUUGC